GGCCUGGAGGUGGGUGGGGAGGCUCUGGCAACAGAUGGGUGCAGUGCGAUGCCUCUCUCCCCUCCCCACACCCAGACUCUGAGAGCACGGAGCCCCUCAGUGUGGAUGGCAUCUCCUCAGACCUUGAAGAGCCAGCUGAGGGCGAUGAAGAAGAGGAAGAAGAGGAGGGAGGCAUGGGCCCCUAUGGGCUACAGGAGGGCAGCCCCCAGACUCCAGACCAGGAGCAGUUUCUAAAACAGCACUUUGAGACUCUGGCCAGUGGAGCUGCUCCAGGGGCCCCAGUGCAGGUCCCAGAGAGGUCAGAGUCUCGGAGUAUCUCUUCACGAUUCCUGUUGCAAGUACAGACCCGCCCACUCAGGGAACCAUCCCCGUCCUCCUCAAGCCUGGCACUGAUGUCGAGACCAGCCCAGGUGCCACAGGCAUCUGCAGCUGGGCUCCCAAGAGAGUGGCCACAGCCAGCCCCUUUUCUGGACUCCAGAAGGCCCAGUCUGUGCACAGUCUGGUGCCACAGUAAAGACAUGAGGCCAGUCUGCAGGCCCCUUCACCAGGCGCACUGCUGUCUUGGGAGGUCGAAGCUCAGGAUGGUCUGGGCUCCCUGCCCCCAGCUGAUGGCCGUCCGUCUCGGCCUCACUCCUAUCAGAACCCCACCACCAGUUCCAUGGCCAAGAUAUCCCGCAGUAUCUCUGUUGGGGAGAACCUGGGCCUGGUGGCUGAACCUUAAGCUCAUGCCCCCAUCCGAGUCUCACCACUCAGCAAGCUGGCCCUGCCCAGCCGGGCUCACCUGGUCCUGGACAUCCCCAAACCACUGCCUGACCGUCCUACCCUGGCUGCAUUCUCUCCCAUCACCAAAGGCCGGGCCCCUGGCGAGGCAGAAAAGCCUGGCUUCCCGGUGGGCCUAGGAAAAGCUCACAGUACAACUGAGAGAUGGGCCUGUUUGGGGGAGGGCACCACUCCCAAGCCUAGGAGAGAGUGCCAGGCUCAUCCUGGGCCCAGCAGCCCCUGUGCCCAGCAACUGCCAGUCAGCAGCCUCUUCCAAGGCCCUGAAAACUUGCAGCCCCCACCCCCUGAGAAGACUCCCAACCCCAUGGAAUGCACCAAGCCAGGGGCAGCCCUGAGCCAGGAUUCAGGUGUGCACAGCUCCCCAGCUCUCAUCUCCUGCCCCAUCCUUACUCUCCCCUCUCUGUUGGCCACUGUCUGGCUCCAUCCCAUUUCUGUGGGUACAGCUUCUGGUGUUUCUUGUCCUGUCUGCUCCUGUCGCAGGUCCGUAAGUCACACCCCUGAUGGUGAGACCCUCCUGCUAACCUUCAUGAUUUCCUUGUGACUCACUUGCCCAUUCAGUGGCUUCUGAACUUGGGGCUGGCCGUCUCCU
rnacentral:lncRNA from 1 species